rnacentral:lncRNA from 9 species
GUUUUCUAUGAUUUCAGAUUUUAACUCUGUGGGACCCCUGGGGAUUGGGCAUUUAUCCACCUAUUUCAGUCCCACCCUGGCUAAAGAUGGCUCCUGAGGGUGUUCAUGCUCCUAUCUUUCCAGGAUUUGUCCAAAGAGGGCUGAGUAGGCUCAAGAGACUUUGAAAAAGACCUCGAAUCGAAAAAGCAGAAAGAAGUUCAUCAGGCAUUUAUGGGGAGGAACUGUCAGCUUAAGUCAUGAACUGGACUUCACAGCUGCCCCUGAAAUCACAGGGUGGCUGAGAGAUGUGGUGCCUGCCAGCUGAAGCUCUGCUGUACUCACUGUGGCUCAAGUCCAUUUUCAUUUCUUCUUUGCUAUGACCUUGUGAGUUAGGUGUUAAGUUUUCUACUUUCCAGUAUGGAAAAACUGAGGUCAUGAAUUGUCAACAACUGGUCGAGGAGCAAACAAGUGGGCAGUGCCUUUUGAGCCUCCAUAUAUUCUCAGAUCUUGACAUUUGGCUUCCUUUCUACUGUGCACACUUGCUUAAACCAAGUGUGAAUGAGGCUUAAUGCAUAAGGAUGCAAGAAGCAAGAUCAGAUAAUGCCAGCCUUCACCAUCAGGACAGCCAAAAAGGGCAUGGGACAGGGAUGUCAUGACUGUACCAUAAGAAGGUGCUUCUCUAAAGAGGGAAACACCAACCACUAUCCUCUGAGAUACAUCCUGGGAUGCAGGAGGACAUUCCAUCCCAAGAAACAAAGGGGAACAACCUUCUCAUCACUGGUUGAAAGUUAA